CUAAGAAUUUAUUACCUUCAUCCUCUUCCAGGAACUCUCUUUAUCAUUUGGUUUCAACAUUUAUUGGUAUUCUUCUAACCUUUUC
rnacentral:rRNA from 1 species